rnacentral:rRNA from 1 species
CAGCCGCCGCGGUAAUACGGAGGGUGCAAGCGUUAUCCGGAUUUAUUGGGUUUAAAGGGUCCGUAGGCGGACUUAUAAGUCAGUGGUGAAAGCCUGUCGCUUAACGAUAGAACUGCCAUUGAUACUGUAAGUCUUGAGUAUAUUUGAGGUAGCUGGAAUAAGUAGUGUAGCGGUGAAAUGCAUAGAUAUUACUUAGAACACCAAUUGCGAAGGCAGGUUACCAAGAUAUAACUGACGCUGAGGGACGAAAGCGUGGGUAGCGAACAGGAUUAGAUACCCCAGUAGUCCCUGUCUCUUAUAC